UAGGGAAUCUUCGGCAAUGGGGGGAACCCUGACCGAGCAACGCCGCGUGAGUGAAGAAGGUUUUCGGAUCGUAAAGCUCUGUUGUUAAGGAAGAACGAGUGUGAGAAUGGAAAGUUCAUACUGUGACGGUACUUAACCAGAAAGGGACGGCUAACUACGUGCCAGCAGCCGCGGUAAUACGUAGGUCCCGAGCGUUGUCCGGAUUUAUUGGGCGUAAAGCGAGCGCAGGCGGUUAGAUAAGUCUGAAGUUAAAGGCAGUGGCUCAACCAUUGUAGGCUUUGGAAACUGUUUAACUUGAGUGCAGAAGGGGAGAGUGGAAUUCCAUGUGUAGCGGUGAAAUGCGUAGAUAUAUGGAGGAACACCGGUGGCGAAAGCGGCUCUCUGGUCUGUAACUGACGCCGAGGCUCGAAAGCGUGGGGAGCGAACAGG
rnacentral:rRNA from 1 species